UGGGGAAUUUUGGACAAUGGGGGAAACCCUGAUCCAGCCAUCCCGCGUGUGCGAUGAAGGCCUUCGGGUUGUAAAGCACUUUUGGCAGGAAAGAAACGUCAUGGGUUAAUACCCCGUGAAACUGACGGUACCUGCAGAAUAAGCACCGGCUAACUACGUGCCAGCAGCCGCGGUAAUACGUAGGGUGCAAGCGUUAAUCGGAAUUACUGGGCGUAAAGCGUGCGCAGGCGGUUCGGAAAGAAAGAUGUGAAAUCCCAGAGCUCAACUUUGGAACUGCAUUUUUAACUAACGGGCUAGAGUGUGUCAGAGGGAGGUGGAAUUCCGCGUGUAGCAGUGAAAUGCGUAGAUAGGCGGAGGAACACCGAUGGCGAAGGCAGCCUCCUGGGAUAACACUGACGCUCAUGCACGAAAGCGUGGGGAGCAAACAGG
rnacentral:rRNA from 1 species